rnacentral:rRNA from 1 species
GUCUGUAGCCAUGCCACUCUGAACAAGCCUGAUUAUGUCUUAUCUUAGAAGCUAAGCAGGGUUGGGCCUGGUUAGUACUUGGUUGGGAGACCACCUAGGAAGACCAGGUGCUGUAGGCA